rnacentral:lncRNA from 1 species
CUGGCUGCCAGGAGACCACCCCAAACAUGGAGACUCAGGGGAACAAGAGGCAGAGCCUCCUUUCUCUAAAGGUCAACUCUAAAUCAAUGAGUAGACUUACAAGGAGGGCACACACCAGUGUUAGAGUUUACUCUGCCAGCUUUGGGCCAGCAGCUUUGGCUCGCAGUUCCCAUCUAAUCCUCACAAUCUUGUGGACAGAUAAUCAUUCUUUUCUCUCUUUCUUUUUUAAAUAUUUAUUUUUUAGUUGUAGUUGGACACAAUGCCAUUAUUUUAUUUAUUUAUCUUUAUGUGGUGCUGAGGAUCGAACCCAGGGCCUUGCACGUGCUAGGCAUGCGCUCUACUGCUGAGUCACAACCUCAGCCCUCAUUAUUUUCUUUUUAAGUGAUGAGAAAGAAUGAGGUGGAGAAAGGCUUGACCAAGAUCACACAGUUUUAAGAGAAGAUCUGGGAUGAGAACACUAGUGUGUUUCACUCUUGCUAGACAUCAUGGCCUCUCAAGGUGGCUCUAUGUUUUUCUUUAGCUCUAAGAUAGCACUUGGCCAUGCCUCAAAGGUGCCCUGGAUCCCCUGGAUCUGUCUCUCAGGAGUCUCUUCCUAGGAUUCUUUCCUAUAAGAAUUGGGGUUGUACACAGUAGGUUAUAAACAGCUCAGAUCACUCCCCUUGCAGAUUAGGGAGAAGAUACUCAGGUGCUUAGCUUCACCUCUGUCUGGCCAUGUCUCCUGACUAGCCACCUCUUUCCCAAUACUGUUCUUUGGGCAGUAAUUGAAACUGGUCCUCAAGAUCUGCUGUUGUCUUAAUCCAUUUUCUGCUGCUCUAACAUAAUACCUGAACCUGGAUAAUUUGUAUAGAAGAAACCUAUUUCUUCUAGUUCUAGAGGCAGGGAAAUCUAAGACCCAGAUACUAGUAUCUGGUGAGAGCAUUCUCUCUGCAACACAGCAUGACAGAUAACAUCUCAUCACAGAAAGCAUGUAGCUCUCCUCCUCAUCUGCUAAAGCUCCUAUGGUCAUCAUGAGGGCCCCAGCUUAAUGACCUCAUCUAACCCUCAUUACCUCCCAAAGGCCCUACAUCCAUAUAUAAUCAACAUAAGAAUUUGGGGAUUAAGUUUCCAACAUGCGACUUUUGGGGCACAUUCAAACUAUAGCAUCUGCAUUCCCUUAGGGAUGGUUUAACAUCUGCACUGGGAACAACAUUCAGUGAAGGAGGAUCACCUACGAGCAGAGCCUGAUGUAACUGAAAGAGACCUGCAAUAAAGUUGAUCUUACAUGGUGGCUAGUGGUCGGCGCAGUCAGCACGGAGCCAUAUAGAAAUUAGAACUCUAUGGUGAACGGUUCCUGAAAGUGACUGUAGUAUUACUUUAAAACAAGUCAGUCAAAUUAUUUUUUUCUAUUCUCACUUGGUGGGUUCUUGAGUUGUAAUCUAUGGUCAGAGCUAAAGUUUUCCUUGGCAUCAUGAAUAGUUUUUAUCCUCACUCUGUUCCUAAUCCUCAUAUCCACUGAUUCUCACAUAUAUAAAAAAGAUAGAGGUUGGUGCUUUUGCUAAACUAAUGAUGGGGACACUUACCAACCCUGCUGCGGUCCAGAAAUGGUGUUCCUAUGCUUCUCCAAAAAUUUGCUGAUGAUUCUAGUUUCGUCUGUAUCUCUCUCUUUCUCAUAAGCUUCUCUCUCUCUCUCUCUCUCUCUCUCUCUCUCUGUCUCUCUCUGUCUCACACACACACACAAACACACACACACACACACACACACACACACCGGAUCCCCUCAUGACAUCCCAGUUUCAAGAACAUGGACCAUGAAGCUGCAGAUGGUCUGUUGACAGGGUCAGAACUGGGAAGAUCCCCUCUGUCUCCCACCUCGGCCCUCAGCUGGGUCUGUUCCUUUUCCUUGAAGGGUUAAGGUCCUGCAGUAACUAAGGGGGGCCCAGAGUGGCCAGCACUGGCCAGCACUGGCCCUGACUCAGAGCAGUGUGUGGGCCCCUGCUACAUCCUGUUGUGAGGAGUCUGCUCUAAUCCCCAGGCAGGGAAGGAAGUCAGGAAAGGGAAACAGCAUGGGGUUUAGAGAAAAGACUGGCCCUUGCUCCUUCCUGUGUGACGGUUUUCCUGGGCCGCUGUCAGUUCCCUAGGAGCAGUGUGUGCUGUUGAGGAGCCAUCUUGGUCAGUGCCAGAGAUCAAAGGAAAGGUAAUUUAGGCAGCACUAAAAAUAGGUCCUGGAGUUAUUUUAGAGCUGUUUUGCUAGCAUUGGAGGAGCAAAUCUUGGAUUUUGCUCAACUUCCUGUCAAUCUCAUGAGCUUCUUCCUCCCUCCUGCUUACUCCCUAGUCUAGUGGUGUUCAAAGGCUUCUGACUGUGACUGCAGUUGUUUUACAUUCAGACUUUGUACACGUAGAGGUGCACACACACAAGACUGAAAAGAACCUUGAAACCUUUGGUUAGGGCUCACUUAGUGAAACCAAUGACCCAACACUAGCAUUUCACACCCACAGUUUGAAAGCAUUAGCCUUCCUUUUUCCUUGGCCUUGAUGAAUGCUCGAACUACCCAGUUAUAUGCCCUGGUAAAAGCCACCUAGAUAUUAUAGAGCACCCCACUUUCUUUUUAAUUCAUAGAAAGAACAUUGGUUAAUAAUCUCUGAUUUCCUGAAGUUGUGUGAUUUGGUCUCUUCUUCCUUUAAAAAGAAGCACCUGUAGUAUUUCCCAGGCCAGUCUGGCUUGAGACUCAAAAUGUCAAAUUUAACACCCUAAACCCUCUGCGGGUAUAGCUAUGGCAUUGUGGGAAAAGAUGAGCUUUGGAGGUGGACAAGUAAAACCCCGCCCUCCCACGCAGGAGGUGUGUGACUUCCUCAGCUUCCCAGUCCUCCGUUUCCCUAUCUGCAUGUGAGGAUGAUUCUUUCAUAUGGUUGUAUGGGAGUUAGGUAUGACAAUGGCCAUGAAGUCCUUACCCAAAUGUUUGGCACACAGCAAGUGCUCAAAUUGUAGUGAUUCAAAUUGUUGCUGUAAUAAUUCAAACCAAGAGAAAAGUCAUUCAAAGAUUUAUCUGACUUGAAGUUCCUUGGUGAUCAAAAUAACUGUGUAGUUGCCAAAUCUUCCUUUCCUCUGCCUCUUCAAAAGCCGUCCUUGCCAAGUGUGAAAUCUCCAAUGCCACAGGAAGGCUGGGUACGAUGCCCUUGAUCAGCCACGUCUACCUGUCGUCUGGCCUGCCACAGUGAGAGUGAUCUAAAUCUCUUUGGAACCCGGUGAUAUUUUCCACCUGUACGAGCUCCGUGAAGCAGAACACCGCGCACAUUCUUUCAUUUGUACCUUCUCCAACCCUGUAACGCCUGUCCUCACUCUUCUAUUUUCUUAUCCUGGCUGCCCAGAUAGGAAAAAUUUACAGUUUUCCUUCUCUCCUCCUCUCCCCUCCCCUCCUCUUGCUUAAAUUGCUCCCCCCAUCCACCCCUCUCGUUCCUCCCCACUUCCCUCUCUUCUUCUGUUUUCUCCCCCCUUCCCCUCCCCUCCCCUCUCAUUUCUUUCUUUUUUUUUUUUAACUGUGGGUAGGUGGGUGGGUGAGUGACCUUCCCCUUACUAAACUUCUUUGCAGUACAGUUUUAUCAACCUCACCUCCUUGAUUUAGAAUGUUACCACUUGCAGAGUAUUUUCAGAUCUCCUUGGUCCUCGUGUGUAUCUGGGGUUUGAUAGCCAAGUACAAUGCCUAUUCUACAGAUUUAGGAAGACUAAAGUGACCUGCCUAAGGUCCUUCAGCUUUCACAGACAGCAGGCUCAGAGUUUCUCAUGUCAGGGCCAACAAUUUUCCCAACACACCUGUUUCUUUAACAUAGUACUGAGGAGAGCCCUUGACCUGAGAAGGGGCUAGUGGCAGCUAUUAGACAAGUAACUAGGUAUGCUGGGAGGGGGGACAAUCACAGGUCAGCUGGCCCCACUUAUAGGUGUCAGUUAUUUUUGUGGAUCAUUACCAAAUAUUGCUUACAAUAAGCAUUUUUGACUCAUCCUGAUCUUUACUAUAAUUUCUAAUUAUUAUAUUUGUUUACCUACUUUUUUUUCUUUACCCAAAUAUAUGUCCCAUGUGGGAAAAGAUGAUGUUUGCUGUGUCACCUUUGUAGACACAACACCUAGCACAGUGUCUGGCACAACAAAUAUUUACUGCUUGAAAAAUAUUUCUGAAUGAAUGAUGAAAUAUGCCACCUGUGGAGAGACUGGGCCAGGAAGCCUGUUUUAUUGAUGUGGCUUACCUAAUAGCCGUGUUCUUUGACCUGGAUAAUAUUAAUGCUUUGACUUAUGCACACAAAGGCAGUGGGGAAUUUGAGGUAAUUAUGUGAGUAAUUUGAACAGAAUGGACCACCCACUCUGACCCUAAUUAUCUGGUUAUUUUAGGUGAAAGUAGCUUAAGACCUGAAGAACUGGAAUGAUUGCCUCAUCUCUCCAUUUCAUUUUAUUCUUACAGUUCCAGCUGCAGACAGAUGUGGAAAUGCUUUCCUGUUAAGCAUGUGAGACCUACAGCAGACACACUCAGGUGGGUACUACAGGUGUGAAUAUGUGCAUAUAUAUGCACACACCAGCAGGAAGGAGAACAGGAGUUUGGGAGAGUAACAGGAAGGAGCAAAUCAGUUCACUUUCCACCAUAAGAAACCCUCCACACCUGGCUUCCUGCAGCCUCCAGCAUACCCCUCUCUUGAGCGUGCACUGCUGGAACCAAAGAAAUUGUAAUUUGACCUUGACAAACUUGAUGAGUGCUGAACUGGAAGUUCAUGGGCCAAAAGGACUGGGCUGACCGACACAGAGCUAAAAGAGAUACAUUCUUCAGUUUUAGAUUUAAAAACAAAACAGAAAAUUUGAGCCUAAGCCAGAAAGUUUGGCUUUGUCAUGUCAGUAGUAUUUAACGAUGUUAUUUGGCUGGAGCAGCAAGUUCUGCAAAUGAAAAACAACUUGGCCUCUUUUCUCCCUUCUUUCUUUUCCCUGUUGGUUCCCAGCUCAGUCCCUCACUCUCCUGAAGCUUCACCUCUGUAGUCUAAAGGCACCUGGGACAAGGAAACCCCCAUGUGCACUGGAUACCAAUCCAGCCCACAGCCUGCUCCCUGCUGUGAUGCUUGCUUCUGAGGGACCCAGAUGUCCUGGUUAUCCAUUCUGACAAGAAUGGUGUUGGGGUGGGUCAGAGUAGUGUCCUCUCAUUUUCAGGAAGGAGAAAUGGGGGUUCAAAAAAGAAAAGAAAUGGAAGGGCAGGGGACACGGUACUUACUAUCUAUUGACUAGUUGCUCUGCAUGAGUAUUUGAAGUUCAAACAUCCCUGAGAGAUGGUUAUGGUAGGUAAUAAUAUCCCCAUUUUAGAGAUGAGAAAAUUGAAGCUCACAGGGGUUAAGUGUUCUACUGAAGGUCACCUGAUCGGUGGGUGGCCAAAUCUUUUGUAUUCAAAAAAGUCAACCAUGUGUAGGGAAAUGAUUGGCUCUGAGUCAGUGAGGCGUUUGAGGUCCAUAGCAAAAUGUCUCUAGCCUCCAUUUGUUCUCAGCUUGGAACAUUUGCUGAGGAUUUCUUCCUCAGGCCUCAUUCAUCUCUUUCUUCCUCAAAGAUUUCCUUGAUUCCCUAAGCCAGAAAGAAUCACUUCCCUCUGUCCCUUCCAUGUAUCUAUUAAUUAUCACCUGUGUUGAAGCAUCAGUCAGGUGUGACUUGUGGUGUGGUUGCUGGGGUAUCCCCAUCUUGAGAAGGCCAAGGUUUAUGGAGACAAGGUGUGAGUACCAGGGAAAAGGAGACUUCUCCACUCCCAGGCUUACCAGCACACUUAAAACCUAGAGUCUGUGAUUUCUGUGCUUUCGUGGGUCUUGCUAAACUGGGGCCUAACCACAUGGCACUUGGGUGCUAGCAAAAAGCCUCUAUCCUAUUGGGAAACAUGGAGGACAGAGGAGAGUGGAGUGGGAUAUGGGCUCUGAGCUCCCCCAAAGCAGGGUGUGGGUCUGCUCAGAAGUGGUAUCAACUGAAUAAAUGAAUAACAAUUUGCUGUCGCUACUCUCAUAAGCCACCUCGUUAGUCCUGCGUCAUAAAAGCCACGGGAAGAGGGUAGGGUAAAUAUCAUUCCCCAACUCCCUCUGUGUUUAGCCUAAGCAUGACGGUGUGAUCGGGCACUGGCUGCUCUUCCAAGGCCUGCCUGGGUCACCAGCCCUGCCUUUUUGCCUACUUUGCAUGGCAUCUGGGAGCUGCACAGCUAAGGUCUGACCUCUCUGCCUCUUGGCCUACCUCUGGUGGCUCUGUGCUGCAAUCUCCUUGGUGUGACCCUCCACCUUGCUGAGAAGAUAACACAGAGAGAACAGACCACAGGGUGGCCCAGGGCCUUAGUCCUUUUCUCAAGCUAAGAAGGCCUAACAGAAGUGGCAAAGGUGUGCCCAAGCCUGCAGCUCUGGCCGUGGCUCUCCACAAAAACUAGCUUAUCCUAAGUUGAAUCCAGGGAACAAAGUGGUGUGUGUGUGUGAGAGAGAGAGAGAGAGAGAGAGAGUGUGUGUGUGUGUGUGAGAGAGAGAGAGAUUUUACACACAUGUGCAUCCAUAGGAGCCUCAUAGUAUUUAGACAGACUAGAAUUUUCCUGGACAGAGUUUGAGGUUCUCUCCAUUUUAUAAACAGGCGAACAGUGUAUUUUAAUUUACCUGAAACAUGGGACAACAAAAAAAAAUGCAGGCACAACCUUCAGCCACCCAGGAGGAGGGGUCCUUGCUCAGCUGUUUCCUCUCUUCUUCCUAAAAGCCCUCUUCCACGGCCCUGUGUUCUGGAUCCCUUCCUUUGCUCACCUGGAGCAUCCCUCCUGUCCCCACAGCCCGUGUUAGAAACUAAGCAGAAGGUAUCUUUGAGGAAGUAAAGAUCCUGCUCAAGAUCUAGCAUCCCCAUGUGUGAGUCCCUCCCUGCCCUCCACGGGGCGCUGCCUAUCCCAGCAGGCACACAUCUACCUAAAUGACACUUGUGCCCUGAGUGCUCUUUCUCAUGUCACUUUGCAACAAACCCAAGUGGGGAUGACCUCCUUGCCUGCACUGUACAGGUGAGAAGCCUGAGGCUCAGGGAAGUCAAGCCCUUGUUCAUGGCCCUCACUCAGCUCAUUCCCAUCAGCAGUGGGAUUGGACUCUCAGCCUUCCUGAUCUCUAGUUUACAUUUUGGCCCGGUGGGCUGUAGACUGCUUCAGAGUAGAUGCACAGUGUCCCAGGAUUCUCCAGGCCCUCUGGGCCCUGAGUGACCUGGCAGGAGGCCCAGGGCUGCGUGUCUCCCUCUACCUCCUGUCCGCACUCCAGAAGCACCAGCCCAAGCUGAUAAGCAUGGCAGGUGCUUGUGAUGUGCCUCUGACACCACUGGAGCCCUCUGAGGAGUCAGCUUGUGGGUGUCUGCAGAAUCCAGUGCCCCUCCCUCACCUUGGAAGGGGCUCCUUUGACACCAGGACCACCGGUUCCUCUAGAGCAAGUGGCCCCAAAGAGCUCUGGCUCCCGGCUGUCAGCACCAGCAAUCCUACCCAGGAGCUAAGCCCUGGCACUUCCCAGGUCUGCAAGAGGCCAGGAUUCCUUUCCAGAAAACACUUCAUCUCUCUCUAAGUCCAGGGCCUGUUCCCUGGCCAGUGUCUUCAUAGUUCAGAUUCCUGUAACUUGAAGAGGUUGGUGCCGUGAGCACUGGACUUUCCAGCCGAGUUCCAUGAGUAAGGUGACACCUUUCCAUUAAAUGCCAGGUCCUUGAGUCCUUUCAGCCACUAAUGAAUUAGAGGAACUCUCCCCAAAUUCUGGUGGCCUGUGAUCCCACAGAGAUACUGCAGGUGUCUCUAUCAAAGGAGCUUCCAUCACAGAUGAGCUGGAUGGAAUAAAACCCUGGGGCCAAGGGUUCCAGAACUGGAUGGAAAGGGAAUAAGUGAAAGUUGGCAGUGAUGAUGCAGGACCUGGGGAACUGGCCUCAACGGAUGCAGGAGUAUCUGCACCUGACACACAUGAGGAGUGUCAUCUUACAUGGGGUACUUUCUAAAACCAGUGCAUAAGAAAAUGUGGUAUGGGAUCUUCCUCACCUCUUCCUUCUGAUGGAGCAGUCUUGCAUUAAGAUGGACCAGCCACUGUUUCCAUCAGCAGGGGAACUGAUGCUGUCAUUUUGUGUGAACAUGCAAUGCAGUGAUUACCUUACACAUAGGGACCAUGUGUUGUGACAAGCAUGUACCUUUAAGCACUAGACCUCUAAGCACUCAGUGUGGGAGCUGGGCUGACUCAGGCAGACACAUGCUUUCCUGCUCCCAGAGCAUGUGUUCACUGAUUGGAGCAGCAGCCCAGUGACCCACAGGAUUUCACCUAGUUAGUGGCCAUGUGAUAUGGUUGCACAGUGUUUACACUCUGCAUAUCCAUGCCAGGGUGUAGGCUGUGCAAAGUAGCAGGGUCAGGCAAAUGACAUAAAGAAGCUGAGAGGCUGCACCUGAACUUGAGCCCCAUGCACCUAGGCCACCUUUGGCUUCUUUCCACUUGGAUUCUUCUUCUGGUAUGGCUGUCGCUCUGUUUUACACAGGGAGGCAGCCUGGGUUGGUUUCUCUACAAAACAAUGAGGUUUCUCUAGUGCACUCUCGUUUUGGAGUGGCCAUCCUGCCCUGCACUGAAAGGAAUCAUUAGUUAAGGGGGUCAUUAAUCCUACAAACUGGAGGCAGACGUCUCCUCCCUGGUGUAGAAAGAGGGACAACAGGUGAGCCACUGGUGUGAUUCUAUCUGUCAGAGCAAAUGGACAAGUGGUAGGGGAAAGGCCUGGGGCACUUUAGAUGACAAAGCAAUAGCUGAGACAGAAGAACUAAGUAGCCCAAAAGGCUUUUGGCUGGGAAAAUGAAGGGGAGCCCCAGAACUAAGGAAGCUGUCAUUGAAACAGAGGAGAUAAGGGAAAGGGCACCUAAUUGUACCUAGAUUGCAAUAAUCUGAAAAUUUUUCUUCAAAUGACUGGGUUUUUUUUCCCCCUUCUGGAAAACCAUCUGAAAGCAGAAGUAACAAGUGUUCUGCAAAUAUUUAUACCAGCAUCUUAAAAUUCAUGACUUUUUAUGAUAAAAGUAGUACAAUGUUUGAUAUGAAAAAGGAAAAUAUCAAAGUAAUAGAUAACCAACAAAGGGAAAGCCUUGUACAAUUCCACCAUGCUGGAAAAAAAAAUUCAGCGGUUUAGGGUGUUUAUAAUAGGAUUUUAACCAAUCAUUUGUUUAUAUAGUAGAGACAUGUGCAGAAGGGCAGCAGUGUUUGAGCUUGCCUUCUACCAUCUGUCUGGAGAGAACUCUGCCAGCCUCUUAAAAAACAGAGUUCCACCAUCCACCUGAUGGCAGCUUCCUGCAUUUUCUGAUAUGGAAUGGAGUCCCCAAGCCCUGGGUUGCCUUUCCAAGUCAGUAGUAGCAAUGUCACCUUGUACACUUCUCACUGGUGAUUGGUAUGAUGUCUGAGAUGAGGGACAAUAUAUUGUAAUAUAACAAUAAAUAUAUGCUUGGGCUCAAAGAAUUUUUUUUUUGAGGUAGUUCAGAUUUGGCCUAGGGUCUCACACAUGCUAGACAAAUGCUCUACCACUGAGCUGCAUCCCCAGCCCUAUAUGUUUGGUUUCUGCCUCCUGGUUCUUGACACAGAGCUCCUAAGUCCCUUGUAAAAUGCUCCUUGUGCUAAGAGAAACUUGUUCUGAUAGUUGUUUUUUCUUUUUGACACUUUAUAAUGAACAUAUAGAGUCUAUACAUUAUACAUUGUCUGUUGAUCAAAUCAAGGUAGUUAGCAUCUCCAGCAUGUCAUGUAUUUAUCAUUUCUUUGUGAUGAGUACUUUCAAAAACCUCUCUUCCACUGUUUCAAAAUAUGCGAUACCUUUUGAUACAGAGUUCCUAAACCCCUUGGAAUUUCCUGCGUGACAGGAGCAACUUUUGUUCUGCUGACAUGACUCUUAGUGGGCUCCUGAAGAGCCUCAGAAUGGGGGCUGGUGGUCAGAGGAACCAACCAUGUGAUUAGAUGGUUGGAGAUUUCAGCCUCAUCUCAAUCCACCUCCACCUCCAUGUGGGGGUAGGGCUGAAGGUUGAGUGGAUCUCCAAUGGUCAAUGAGUGAAUCAUCAUGCCUCUGUAAUGCUGCCUCCAUAAGCACCCCCAAAGGAUUGAAUUCACAGAGCUUCAAGACAGCUGAACACGUGGAGCUAUCUGGAGGAGGCAGAAAGGGUGACAGCUUCAUGCCCCUUCCCACAUGCUUUACCCUCAGCAUCUCUUCCAUUUGGCCGCUCAUCUACAUGAAAUAAAUGGUAAGCAUGAGUGUUUCCCUGAGUACAUGAGUUGCUCAGGGAAGUAUAAAUGAAUUGAACCCAAAGAACGGGGUGUGUGGGAACCUUGAUUUAUAGCCAGUUGGUCAGCGGUUGAGGUGACAAAUUAUUAUUUGCCACUGACAUGGCAAGUUGGGAGCAGUUUUGCAGGACUGAGCCCUCCACCUCUGGGAUCUGGUGCUACCUCCCAGUAGAUAGUCAGAAUUGAAUUAAAUUAUAGGCCAGGCAAUUGGUGUCCACUGGAAAAAUUGCUGGUUUGGUGUGUGGGGACACAGCCCCCACACAGCUGGUGACAGAAGCACUAUGUGACAGCUGAUUUUUCUCAUCUCAUCCGGGUCCUUCCCCAGGACUGCUCCAGGUGAGCAGCAUCACUACAAACGCUGCCUUGUCCUGAAGGCUCAAGGAUGGGCAGCCCACCCUUGCUCACCCCUUCUCUAUUGUUGUCUCACAGAAAGAGGCAUCAGGAGACGCAUCCUAUCCAAAGAGUUUAAAUACAUUUAAGUCCUUCACCAUGAGGUUAAGCGACUCACUCAAGGUUACACAGCUAGUAAAUGGGAGAGGCGAUUCUGAAGUCCAUCUCUGGCUGACAGAUAUUAGAAGACUUUGGUGUUACAAGUUACACACUUAGGAUAGCUGCUUCACCUCCCUAUGGUGAUGACCCCCACAGCAAGAAGGCUGGUUAUCCACCUUGGCUGUGGUUCGGAAUCACCUGAGAAGCUUAAACAAACUGAUAUCUGGGGCCUCAGACUUCACUGAUGCAGAUCGAGGUCUGGGCACUUGCCUGUGGCUCCAUGCUGGGCUGUGGGUCUGGUCCUAAGGCCCCAAACAGGGGCAGGCUCGCUGCACUGUCCAUCACGAGAAUAUAGAUGUGGUAACCCCCACAUUAUUUUAUCUCCCUAGGUCUGGUUACCCAGCUAAAAGUUCUCCUUCCUAAGAGAACAUUAGAGUCCAAAAUUGGUGACCUUAGGCAAAUGGCUUAAGCUCUCUGUGCCUCUGCUUCCUAACUAUAAAAUGAGGAUAAAACUAGUGCUUGUCUCCCAAGACAGUUGGGAGACUGAAGUGAGAUGUAACAUGCCUAGCCACCUGGAGGGCACUCUGUCUCCUUUCCCUCCUCUCCUAGGGGCACUGUCUCCAGCAACUGUGGCUUAGUGGCAUGACAUACUGUGUCUCUAAGGUCUGGGAGCCAGGAUCACACUGAAGAGGCUAGAUCAAGGGACACUAGGGUCAGGGGCUGGUGAGAGGGUUGCCUCCAUGGCCUUAUUGGCUCUUCCCAGAGUGCUCCCUGAGAUGCCCAGGUACAGGGCUGGCUUUGUAACAGGGAAAAGUACCUGCCCUACCCUGCUGCCCAACUUUUGGCAGAUGUUAGGCAACUUGCUUCUUUGAAAUAUUCAAGCACCUGAGAGCCUCAGGCAGGUUGUGGGCACUGACUCUACCCUGCGCCUUCUAGAUAGUCCAGCUCCUGACUGACACCCUCCCCCCGACUCCCACCCAACCACCUCCACCAAUACACAUCGUCUAUUUUUUCUCCCGAGGGUUGUGCUGUGAAUUACUAGGUUUUGUUGGGCUUGCCAAGGCUUGGCCCAUGGAAGGCCUGGCUUCUUCUUUGGGUCUCAAUCUCUGGCCUGUCUCUGCCUGGUGCAGCCGGCAAAGCUGGAAGGAUCUCCACCUCUGGGAAGGAGGGAGCCUGAGCCCCUUGCUUGGCUUUGCCACCUGGUUGCUUUGUGAUCUUGGGUCUGCGGUAUUGCCUCUGGAGAGGAGCUUGGAUACAAAUUCUCCUGGUUGACUUCAUGUACCUCUGUCAGGCUGGCAUGCAGAGCAGAGUUACUUCCUCAUGGCUGGAGAAAAAGCUAGGAAGCAAAUGGGCCAGGAGGUGAAUCAGAUUUCUGGGCCUUCUGGUCCAGCCUGCUGAAAAGUGCCCCACACUCUAAGCCUGGACGCCUGGUGGGCAGUCGGGCACAGCCAUGAACUGACUACCACCUUAGACAAAUCCUACAACUUCUCUGGACCUCAUUUAUACAGCUGGGCCAUAAGGCAGUUGAUCUAAAUCAAUUGUUUUCAAAAGUGAAUUAUUUAGUACACUAGUUUUGAAAGCUACUUCUCAAAAAAAAAAUUCUCCAAGAUCAAAUAUGUUUUGAGGGAUACUGUAAACUCCCCCUCUUAUGAUCACAUCUUAAUGUAUACAUCAGCUUAUUAAAGUGCCCAGAAGCCCAGUAACAAAGAGGCCAGCUCAGCUUCAUUGAUCUCAGUUCCUCUUAAACUUGUUUGACCAGGACACCUUAUUUUCCCUUUUAAUUCAUUACCAUCCUGGAGCACUAAAGUUUGGAGACAGACAAGUGAGAAAUCCAGAGUUGGGCUUCUCAAGCUUAAAAGUGCAUGUAGAACGCUGCGGUCUUAUUAAAAUGCAGAUUCCAGCUCAGCAGUUCUGGGCAAGACCUGACUUCCUUCCAAUGAGCUCCCAUGAGAUGACCAUUGGGCUGGUCCAGGGAGCACACACAGAGUCACACAGGACUGGAAUCCUAAUGCUCUUUGCACUUUCAAUAUUGGAAGCAAUCUAGAAGCUGUAAUGUGGGGACUCUGAACUCACAGAGACCUGGGAUGGGGCCCUGACUCUACCACACACUAGCAGUAUGACCUUGGGCAGUGCCCUCCCUGGACAUUGGUUUUCUCAUCUGCAAUGUUUAGACAUUCAUCACAUUUGCUCCACAGGAUUAUUUGAGGAUUAAAUAAAACUAUGCAAAUAAAAUCUAUAAGAUCCAACCCAUGAUAGGAGCAAAGUAUACCCUGGUCACCACUGAUAAUAAGAAUCCACAGCGCUGGCCUUUCUGUCUGUGGACCAACACUACCUCCAUGCCUGCCUCUGUGCCUUUCUUUGCAUUGCUGACUGCUGUCCUCAAAUCCCUUUCCUUCCCAUAUGAAAGCCAUGUCUAUUUAUGUGACUUUACUUGACCUCUCUAGCACAUUCUAGUAAUUUUUUUUUUUUUGCUUUUAGGGAAUCAGAGGAGCUGAGAGAUCAUGGCUUCUUUGAAAACCAUAGAGAAACUAUACCAGCAGACUUUAGUAAUAGCACACCUCCCUCAGGUGGAAGCCUGGUUGACAUGGGUCCUCCUGACCCUAUCCUAAGGGGGUAUUGAUUGACAGGUGAGGCACAAGGGCUUGCACUAAUCAUCACCUUACUCUGGACAUAAACCCUGCCAACUGUUCUUGAAUCUGUGUCACACACAACUACUGUGAGAAUAUGACUCAUUUUAUUCACUUUUGUGUUCCUCCAUAAGUGUAUCUGCAAAUGAAUUGUAUGAAAACCUUUAUAUAAAUAUGUUCACAUGGUUUUAAAAAAAUUCUUUGUCAGCCAGCAAGGACUAUAUUUGGGCUCAAACUCCCUGCUUAAUUGCAAUUAUAUUUAGACAGUGGAUAAAGACCCUGACACUAAGGCUGCCCUCGAUACUGGAGGCUGAAGAAGGAAGAGUGAAAGAGGAUCAUCAUUUAUUGACCAACUCUAGGUUUGGCUCCUGGUAUUAGUCAUUUCAUUUAAGUCUCCCAGCAACCAAAUGUGGUAGGUAUUCUUAUUCAUCAAGCUCAGAAAGGUUAAGGACUUUGCCCAAGACACAUAGCUAGUAACGGUGGAGCUUCAGUUAGAGUUCAGGAUGAUUGGACAACAUUCUAACUCUAGGCUUUCUCUGCUCCAAGUCUGCUUGGCAGAAGAUGACCGCCUUCAGUUUCCAAGUUUUACCUGCUAUUGGAACACCUGGGGACAAAUUCAGUCCUCUCUCAACCUGAUCCCAGUCUUGGGUCAAAUUGCACCUCUGGACGAACCACAUGUGUCUAUAGAGAUGUGUCACACUAUACAAGCAAGGCAGUUUCUCUCCCACCCACACAGGUGAGAGUAGGAGAAAGGAGACUUAGUCACAGCCUGGGACAGGUUUGCUGUAACUGUCGGGCUGUGGUGUACUUUCAGGGCAGUAAUUGGUAAGAAAGAUAUUGAAAAGGCAGAUGAGAUGGAAAAUGUCAUCUUGACCCCAUUUCACUGUCAUUCUGGCUGCUCUCUGACCCUAUUCAGGUUAGCUCAGUCAGCUGCCCAGCCUGGAGUGGGCUGCCUUCUCUGGCUGCCUUGUCCUUCAAGAGUUCCAGGGAUGGAAACUGAUCACCUCCUUACCCCCUAUCUCUGGCCUAGAUGGAAGGUAUUCUUCCAUCUUGUUGCAGAGAAUAGUGGGUGGUAAGGAUGCUGGGCUGACUCACAGCUGCGUACAGCUGGGAGGUUCUGGACCCCUGGCUCCCUGCCACCUUGUGUCCCAUGCAUCAUUGCUCUGCCUACAUUUCCAGUGAUGGAUGGGGGAGUGAGACAUGACCCAUGUUACAGGCCUAGGUGAAAGACCAUUGGAAUUAAGACUUCCUGGAAUCUCCACAGGGUUGCAGGGUAAAACAAGGUGAAGUGCAAAUUGAUUGUCAGCCAUUCCUCCAGACUCCCAAAAAAUGAACUUGGAGAGUCUCUUCAGUGCCCACCACCAACUGGUCAUCCAGAUAGACAAACACCACUCAAAGCUGACAGCUAACAACUUGACAAUUGUCCUCUACACCAUGCCAAUGUGAGCACACUUAAUUAAUAACCUGGGAUGCCCCAUCUCCUCUCCACUCAGGGGCUCAGCGCCUGUUUCUCAGUCACCACUGCUAGCUGAGUUUUAAUUAUCUUUCGGCACUGUCGCCUCUUGGAAUGCUGGAAAGGAAAUUCUCGCCCAGCUGGGCUGCAGCCAGGCCUGUUGGAGAACAAUGUGCAUUGCAGUGUUGAUCUCUCAGCUGGAACGCCAGCCCUCAGACUGGAGAGGAGCUCUCUGCUGCCAACCCAAAGGGAGAGGGAACUCAGUGCCUUUUCAGCACUUCUGUGGCGGCAGAGCUCCUAGGACUUAAAAUAAUGACCUCCUUGACAAGUUUUUAAAUUUUGUUUUUGGGAGUGUCUCAUUGGACAAGGCCACCUGGGUCUUGGAUUAUUUUUUAAUCACACCGGGAGGAUGAUUUUUUCCCUUUAAUUGUAACACUGGUGUUUAUUGAGUAUCUACUCUGUGGCAGGCACUGUGUUACAUUGCACCACCUUAUUCAUGCCCUGCAGCUGUGUUAAGCAGGUAACAUUUCCUUCUCUUAUUUUAUAAAUGAGAAGCUAAGUCCCACUACUCUGCCCAAGGUCAUGUAGUGCCCAGCCCAAGGUCAGAUAGUAAUGAGCAGAAAAGCAGGCGGUGCUGGAAUUCAAACCCAGCAUCCUGAUCCUGGAGUCUGCCCUUUAGCCAUGACCUUCUUCCUCUGUGCUUAUUAUUGGGUAUGUAUUCAGUUCUAUGAGCCUGCCUGAGAAUAGUACUGGAAAAACACCCCCCAAAGACACUGACCUUUGGGUUUGUAGCUUUUCCCCUUUCCAUCCUGGCAACCUGUGUUCACCCCCUCCUGGGUAAUGGAGGAACUACGCAGGCUCCAGGUACUCUACCCUUCUCACCACCGUGAGUGCUCAGAGCUGGGGUUCUGUGGACAAGGGCGCAGACAGACCACUGUUUCCAGCAGGGAAUUGCUAUUUGGCUGGGAUGACAAGUUCUUGAAUGUUCUCCAGCCAUCCCCAUGGAUGUUUCAGGAAGGAGGUGGCUCAUUCCCUCUUCACCAAGAAGAGAAGAACCUGGGUACUCUAAGGACAGAGGAGUGAGCUGGACAGGUUCGCCAGUCCUGCUUCUGCAACUUAUUGUUCUUACCACCUUGACCUUGGGCCUACAAUUCUACCCCUCCACUUCCCUCUGUAUCCUUCCUCUCUAGCAUUUUCUAAGCCACAAAGCCAAGAAGCCAUUAUUUGAAAGAAACCCCUGGCCAAAUGUAUUGGGUUGGAUUAUGUUCCCCUGAAAGACAUGUCCAAGUCUCAACUCUGGCUACUUAUGAAUGUGACCUUCUUUGGAAGUAGAAUCUUUACGGUUGAAAUUAAGUUAAGGCAGUCUAGAUAAGAUCCCAGGGAACUCAUGGCUGGGUCCCAAAUCCAAUGACUAGUGUCUUUAGAAAAGAAAGAAGAGGAAAACCCAGAGGUAUACAUAGGAAAAGACAUGGGAAGGCAGAGACAGAGAUUGGAGGCAUGUCACCACAAACCAAGACACCUGGAGCCACCAGAGCUAGAAGAAGCAAGAGACUUCAUGGGGCACAGCCCUGAUAACACCUGAUUGUGGACUUCAAUCCUCCAGCACUGUAAGAGAAUAAAUUCCUAUUGUUUAAAACCACCCAGUUUGUGAUCAUUUGUUAUGGGGCCCUAGGACUCAAAUAUACUAAGGCAAGACCUCAUCAUCAGCCAGGUCACUGGAAGGCUCCGCAGAGCAGAGCCAGCUGGG